UACGUAGGGUGCAAGCGUUAAUCGGAAUUACUGGGCGUAAAGCGUGCGCAGGCGGUGAUGUAAGACAGGUGUGAAAUCCCCGGGCUUAACCUGGGAACUGCAUUUGUGACUGCAUCGCUGGAGUGCGGCAGAGGGGGAUGGAAUUCCGCGUGUAGCAGUGAAAUGCGUAGAUAUGCGGAGGAAAACCGAUGGCGAAGGCAAUCCCCUGGGCCUGCACUGACGCUCAUGCACGAAAGCGUGGGGAGCAAACAGG
rnacentral:rRNA from 1 species